CAAGCAAGCUGGACAGCCGCGCGGGCGGGGCGAAAGGCCCGUCUGUGAGGAAAGUCCGGGCUCCACAGGGCAAGGAUAACGGGUAACACCCGCCGGGGGCGACCCCAGGAAAAGUGCAACAGAGAUAUACCGCUGGGCGCCGCUUGCGGCUGCCCAGUAAGGGUGGAAAGGCGAGGUAAGAGCUCACCCAAUGGCGUGUGAAAGCGUCCAUUGCUGUAAACUCUAUCCGGAGCAACGCCGUGGAGGGACACAAGGUCGGCCCGACCGUCCCACGGAGGCGGCUGGAGCGUAUCGGCAACGGUGCGUCGAGAUAGAUGGCUGUCUUAAAUGACAGAACCCGGCUUACAGGCUUACUUGCACC
rnacentral:RNase_P_RNA from 1 species